rnacentral:rRNA from 1 species
AUUAGAGUUUGAUCAUGGCUCAGGAUGAACGCUGGCGGCGUGCUUAACACAUGCAAGUCGAACGGACUUGACCUCUGUUGAAGCUUCGGCAGAUACUUGGUCAAGUUAGUGGCGGACGGGUGAGUAACGCGUGGGUAACCUGCCGUAUACAGGGGGAUAACACUUAGAAAUAGGUGCUAAUACCGCAUAAGCGCACAGGACCGCAUGGUCCGGUGUGAAAAACUCCGGUGGUAUACGAUGGACCCGCGUCUGAUUAGCUAGUUGGUGAGGUAACGGCCCACCAAGGCGACGAUCAGUAGCCGGCCUGAGAGGGUGAACGGCCACAUUGGGACUGAGACACGGCCCAAACUCCUACGGGAGGCAGCAGUGGGGAAUAUUGCACAAUGGGGGAAACCCUGAUGCAGCGACGCCGCGUGAGUGAAGAAGUAUUUCGGUAUGUAAAGCUCUAUCAGCAGGGAAGAAAAUGACGGUACCUGACUAAGAAGCUCCGGCUAAAUACGUGCCAGCAGCCGCGGUAAUACGUAUGGAGCAAGCGUUAUCCGGAUUUACUGGGUGUAAAGGGAGCGUAGACGGUGGUGCAAGUCUGAAGUGAAAGCCCGGGGCUCAACCUCGGGACUGCUUUGGAAACUGUAUGACUAGAGUGCAGGAGAAGUAAGCGGAAUUCCUAGUGUAGCGGUGAAAUGCGUAGAUAUUAGGAGGAACACCGGUGGCGAAGGCGGCUUACUGGACUGUAACUGACGUUGAGGCUCGAAAGCGUGGGGAGCAAACAGGAUUAGAUACCCUGGUAGUCCACGCCGUAAACGAUGAUUACUAGGUGUUGGUGAGUAUGGACUCAUCGGUGCCGCAGCAAACGCAAUAAGUAAUCCACCUGGGGAGUACGUUCGCAAGAAUGAAACUCAAAGGAAUUGACGGGGACCCGCACAAGCGGUGGAGCAUGUGGUUUAAUUCGAAGCAACGCGAAGAACCUUACCCGGGCUUGAAAUGUACUUGACCGAUCUGGAAACAGGUCUUCUAGCAAUAGCAAGUAUGUAGGUGCUGCAUGGUUGUCGUCAGCUCGUGCCGUGAGGUGUCGGCUUAAGUGCCAUAACGAGCGCAACCCACAUUGUUAGUUACUAACAGGUUAAGCUGAGGACUCUGACAAGACUGCCAGCGUAAGCUGUGAGGAAGGUGUGGAUGACGUCAAAUCAGCACGGCCCUUACGUCCGGGGCGACACACGUGUUACAAUGGAUGGUACAGAGGGUCGCUACCUAGUGAUAGGAUGCUAAUCUCCAAAGCCAUUCCCAGUUCGGAUUGGAGUCUGCAACUCGACUCCAUGAAGCUGGAUUCGCUAGUAAUCGCGCAUCAGCCAUGGCGCGGUGAAUACGUUCCCGGGCCUUGUACACACCGCCCGUCAAGCCAUGGAAGCUGGGGGUACCUGAAGUACGUAACCGCAAGGAGCGUCCUAGGGUAAAACUAGUGACUGGGGCUAAGUCGUAACAAGGUAACCAAU